rnacentral:rRNA from 1 species
AUUGAACGCUGGCGGCAGGCCUAACACAUGCAAGUCGAGCGGAUGAGGGAAGCUUGCUUCCCGAUUUAGCGGCGGACGGGUGAGUAAUGCCUAGGAAUCUGCCUAUUAGUGGGGGAUAACGUUCCGAAAGGAACGCUAAUACCGCAUACGUCCUACGGGAGAAAGCGGGGGAUCUUCGGACCUCGCGCCAUUAGAUGAGCCUAGGUCGGAUUAGCUAGUUGGUGAGGUAAUGGCUCACCAAGGCGACGAUCCGUAACUGGUCUGAGAGGAUGAUCAGUCACACUGGAACUGAGACACGGUCCAGACUCCUACGGGAGGCAGCAGUGGGGAAUAUUGGACAAUGGGCGAAAGCCUGAUCCAGCCAUGCCGCGUGUGUGAAGAAGGUCUUCGGAUUGUAAAGCACUUUAAGUUGGGAGGAAGGGUCGUAACCUAAUACGUUACGGCUUUGACGUUACCGACAGAAUAAGCACCGGCUAACUUCGUGCCAGCAGCCGCGGUAA